UACGUAGGGUGCAAGCGUUGUCCGGAAUUAUUGGGCGUAAAGAGCUCGUAGGCGGUCUGUCGCGUCGGCUGUGAAAACCCGGAGCUCAACUCCGGGCCUGCAGUCGAUACGGGCAGACUGGAGUUCGGCAGGGGAGACUGGAAUUCCUGGUGUAGCGGUGAAAUGCGCAGAUAUCAGGAGGAACACCGGUGGCGAAGGCGGGUCUCUGGGCCGAUACUGACGCUGAGGCGCGAAAGCUAGGGGAGCAAACAGG
rnacentral:rRNA from 1 species